AUUGAACGCUGGCGGAAUGCUUUACACAUGCAAGUCGAACGGCAGCACGGGGCAACCUGGUGGCGAGUGGCGAACGGGUGAGUAAUACAUCGGAACGUGCCCAAUCGUGGGGGAUAACGUAGCGAAAGUUACGCUAAUACCGCAUACGAUCUACGGAUGAAAGCGGGGGAUCGCAAGACCUCGCGCGAGUGGAGCGGCCGAUGUCAGAUUAGGUAGUUGGUGGGGUAAAGGCUCACCAAGCCAACGAUCUGUAGCUGGUCUGAGAGGACGACCAGCCACACUGGAACUGAGACACGGUCCAGACUCCUACGGGAGGCAGCAGUGGGGAAUUUUGGACAAUGGGCGCAAGCCUGAUCCAGCCAUUCCGCGUGCAGGAUGAAGGCCUUCGGUUGUAACUGCGUUUGUACGGAACGAACGGCGAGCUCUAAUACAGUUUGCUAAUGACGGUACCGUAAGAAUAAGCACCGGCUAACUACGUGCCAGCAGCCGCGGU
rnacentral:rRNA from 1 species